UACGAAGGGGGCUAGCGUUGCUCGGAAUCACUGGGCGUAAAGGGCGCGUAGGCGGCCAUUCAAGUCGGGGGUGAAAGCCUGUGGCUCAACCCACAGAAUUGCCUUCGAUACUGUUUGGCUUGAGUAUGGCAGAGGUCAGUGGAACUGCGAGUGUAGAGGUGAAAUCGUAGAUAUUCGCAAGAACACCAGUGGCGAAGGCGGCUGACUGGGCCACUACUGACGCUGAGGCGCGAAAGCGUGGGAGCAACAGG
rnacentral:rRNA from 1 species